UCCUGCCGGAGGUCACUGCUGUUGGGAUUCGGCUAAGCCAUGCAAGCGGAGGGCGCGGUCGAAAGAUCGUGGCCCCGCACACUGCUCAGUAACACGUAGUCAACCUACCCUUGGGACGGGGACAACCUCGGGAAACUGAGGCUAAUACCCGAUAGGUGAGGGACGUUGGGAUGCCUCCUCGCCCAAAGCUCCGGCGCCCAAGGAUGGGACUGCGGUCUAUCAGGCUGUUGGUGGUGUAACGGACCACCAAACCUACGACGGGUACGGGCGAUGGGAGUCGGAGCCCGGAGAUGGGAACUGAGACAAGGCCCCAAGCCCUACGGGGCGCAGCAGGCGCGAAAACUCCGCAAUGCGCGCAAGCGUGACGGGGGGAUCCCAAGUGCCGUUGGUCUUUCGAUCGACGGUUUUUAGGAAGUCUAAGAAGCUUCCAGAAUAAGGGCUGGGCAAGACUGGUGCCAGCCGCCGCGGUAACACCAGCAGCCCAAGUGGUGGCCACGAUUAUUGGGCCUAAAGCGCUCGUAGCCGGAUCAGCAAGUCCCUUGUGAAAUCGGGCCGCCUAACGGUUCGGCGUGCAAGGGAUACUGUUGGUCUUGAGGCCGGGAGAGGUCGGAGGUACUCCUGGGGUAGCGGUGAAAUGCUCUAAUCCUAGGGGGACCACCAGUGGCGAAGGCGUCCGACCAGAACGGACCUGACGGUGAGGGGCGAAGGCUAGGGGAGCGAACGGGAUUAGAUACCCCGGUAGUCCUAGCUGUAAAGCAUGCGGGCCAGGUGUCUAGCGCUCCUUGAGGGCACUAGGUGCCGGAGGGAAGCCGUUAAGCCCGCCGCCUGGGAAGUACGGCCGCAAGGCUGAAACUUAAAGAAAUUGGCGGGGGAGCACCACAAGAGGUGGGACCUGCGGUUCAAUUGGAAUCAACGCCGGU
rnacentral:rRNA from 1 species